AUCUGUCUGGUGCUGUGCAGGGCCAUUAAUGGAUGUUCCUUGUGUUCAAGACAGAGUUUUCUAUUUCCCUCAGGGUCACAUUGAAUUGUUGUCAGAACCUACAAAACAAGAU